AUUGAACGCUGGCGGCAGGCUUAACACAUGCAAGUCGAGCGGUAACAGAUCUAGCUUGCUAGAUGCUGACGAGCGGCGGACGGGUGAGUAAUGCAUAGGAAUCUGCCCAGUAGUGGGGGAUAGCCCGGGGAAACCCGGAUUAAUACCGCAUACGCCCUACGGGGGAAAGCAGGGGAUCUUCGGACCUUGCGCUAUUGGAUGAGCCUAUGUCGGAUUAGCUAGUUGGUAGGGUAAGAGCCUACCAAGGCAACGAUCCGUAGCUGGUUUGAGAGGAUGAUCAGCCACAUCGGGACUGAGACACGGCCCGAACUCCUACGGGAGGCAGCAGUGGGGAAUAUUGGACAAUGGGGGCAACCCUGAUCCAGCCAUGCCGCGUGUGUGAAGAAGGCUUUCGGGUUGUAAAGCACUUUCAGUGGGGAAGAAAUCCUCGGGGCCAAUACCCUCGAGGGAGGACAUCACCCACAGAAGAAGCACCGGCUAACUCCGUG
rnacentral:rRNA from 1 species